rnacentral:misc_RNA from 1 species
CAGCAGAUAUUUUGAGUGAAUAAUCGAAUGAAUCAUCAACCCAUAAUUCAAAGUUACAUGAGUUGCAACUUGAAAGUGGUGGAAUUAUUAUCUGCUCUGGCAUAGAGUUGUUCAGAUGGAGAUUUUUUUACAGGUAAAAUGGUGUUAUUGAGGGACUAAAAAAAAAUUAUGCCUAUGAGGAGUGAUUCCUAUAGCCAAAGAUAUCAAAAACAAGCUUGAAAGUUGAAGAAUGCAAAGUGGCCAAAAACUGCAUAACUUAUGCAGUCUCGUACUCUGCUUAUGCAGCUUCACGGAGAAAGCCCCUAAACCUGCCGAAAACUGCAUAAGCUACUGCAUAACUUAUGCAAUCUCACACCUCACUUAUGCAACAUCGCAGGAAGCACCUGGAAUCACCAAAUUUGCUCAGAAUAUGCAUAGGAAGCUUGCACAACUUGUGCAAAUCUUCAUAAUGAGCUGGCAGAAGAAUUUUUACACAUGAAUCCCUUCCUUAAAUACACCAUUUUUAGGGUUAUUUGUCAGAAAGUAUAAAUAGUGCCCUUACCUCAUUUUUUAGGAUAAGAAGAAAGAGAGGAAGACGAAAAAAAGGGGCAGAAAAAUAGAGGAGCAGUCAACUUUCAUUUUUGGAAAGCAAAAUCCAGCUUCUUCUUCUCUUCUUCACCAUUUUCUACAUUUCUCCUAUCGGGUUUCUUUAGUUUUAGUUUAUUUUCAUGAUUUAUUUCCUCUUUUACUUAGAAGUUCUUGUAUUAAAUAUGGAUUGUGAGUAGUUUUCUUUGAUUCUGGAAUAAGGGAUGUAAUAUUUUAGUUAU